GACGCGCUUCUCGACUUCAGGGACGGCCUCUACGACCCAAGCAACCUCCUAUCGUCAUGGCGAGGUGUGGAAUGCUGCCGGUGGGCUGGCGUCGUUUGCAGCAACCGGACCGGCCACGUUGUCAAGCUGCGAAUCAGCAGCAUAUACAUCUCGGACACGUACAGCCUUGGAGGUGAGAUACGCUCCUCCUUGCUAACUUUACGACAUCUGAAGCAGCUGGAACUCUCAUACAACAACUUCGGAGGCCAACCCAUCCCGGAGUUCAUCAGCGCCCUCGGGAGGCUGACACAUCUCGACCUCUCUUCGUCCAAUUUCGGUGGUCAGAUUCCUCGCCACCUCGGGAACCUCUCGAACCUGGUCAGCCUUGAUCUCAGCAGAAUGCCGCAAAAUGCUUACUCACCUGAUCUCACCUGGGUUUCGUCCCUCACGAAGCUGCAGGUCCUCAUCAUAACUGAGGUGGACCUCAGCGCCGCUGUCCACUGGACUCAUGCUAUUAACAUGCUCCCCAGUUUGAUAAACCUUGAUUUAAGUUCUUGUAGGCUUCACAACACCAUGCCUCCCCCGUCACAUUCCAAUCUCACAUCUCUGGAGACCCUCACCCUUUCUGGAAACUCCUUCAACGCAUCUCUUGGAGCCAAAAAUUUGGUUUGGGAUCUGCCUAGCCUCCAAGCGCUCUUCCUAGAUGACUGUGGAAUUGAUGGUCCAAUCCCUGACGCGGUGGGGAACUUGACCUCCAUUCAACACUUGUUACUUUAUUCGAACAAGUUCACUGGCACCAUGCCAUUGACCUUCAAGAAACUGAAGACACUACAACAACUCUUUUUGCAAGACAACUUCAUCAACAUGGAUGUGGCAGAGCUACUGCACCGGUUGCCAUCAGAUGCACUGCAGGAGCUGGUUAUGGACAACAACAAUUUGAAAGGGAGCUUACCAGCUCGUCUAAGGCACUUUAACAGGUUGAACACGCUCUUCCUCGACUCAAACGAGCUUUCUGGAGAGAUACCAGUUGGUAUACGGGAGCUCAAAAGUUUGAGUAGAUUAUCGCUAAGCUCGAACAACCUGCACGGUACAAUCACAGAGGGCCAUUUCACAAAUCUAACCACCUUAGAAUUCCUACUUAUCUCUGAAAAUUCCUUAACCGUGAAGGACAAAUUCCUCAAGAAAUUGGAAAGCUCGUUGCAUUAA
rnacentral:rRNA from 1 species